CUCUUCUCUACUUUCCCCAAUAUGACUGGACGCUCAGCGACAUGUUUUUCCCCGCUUUGGAGCCGCCGCGACCCCCCGCGGGAGAACUUCCGGACGAGGGAAGCGCGAAAAGGUAAAACAGAGAGAUGCAGACAGGAUCAGUGUCAAAAGUGUGGGAAAUCUUCCAGGUGGUGUGGUCGUCUAAGAAGACAUGGACUCACACUGCAGAGAAACCACCAGUGUGAACAAUGUGGCUGCAGUUUCCGCCAACUAAAUGCUUACAAGCUACACCUGCAAACCCACGCAGAACGAAGACCAAACAGCUGCGGCCGGUGUGGGAGACAUUUCAGCAACCAGAGUUUACACAGAAAACACCUGUGUAAUCAUACUGGAGAUUACCGAUUGGGACCAAUGGGGAAAGAGGUUCAACAGCCCAGAUGUUUACAUGACACGCUUGCGUGUCCACACUGGAGAGAAACCAUACCAGUGUGACCAAUGUGACAAGUGUUUCAGUUACUUAUCUCAUUACAAGAGACGCAAGCGUGUCCACGCCGGAGAGAAGCCGUAGCAGUGUGAACAAUGCGGAAAAGGUUUCAGUCGCUUAGGCAAAUACAAGACACAUACCUGCGUGUCCACACAGCGGAGAGAAACCAUAUGAAUGUGAACAGUGGGGAAAGAGAGACACUCAUUUAAGUAGUUACAACCAACACCUGGGCUGCCACACUGGAGAAGAAACCAUUCUGCUGUUCUCAGUGUAAAAGACUAUUUGCUCGGCCAUAAUCCUUAAGGCACAUCACUGUGUUCAUUUAGAUGAACAGGUCUAUAGACCUCCUCAGAGCCUGGCGGUGGAGUCUGCCACUCCCGUGCCUAACCAAGGUUGCCUAACUAAGGUCUCUGUAUGUCAGUGUUGUACAGCACGUGCGCUGGAUUCUACUCACUCUAAUGUCCAUCUGGUCUUAACAAAUACAUUUGGUCAUCUGAUUAUGAGUGUGCUUUGGAAGGAGGUGGAAAAAAAAAAAGUGAUUGGGUUGGGGUUCCAGUUGACCAGCGAUCUAAUCAUCAGUGCGGUUGGCAUGUCUGCAGACCUCGAUGUUUCAGAGUUCGAGAGGCCCGCACUGGGCCCGUGUGCUGGCUGCGACUAUGUAACUGCAGCGGUAUGGUUAGUUGCAGGACAAGAUGUGCGUUCGUGUUAAGCAGGCUGUGUGCUUCUUCCAGCACGCCUCCACAGGCGUGCACGCACACAGCACGAAGCACGUAGCCUGCUUAACAUGAACACAAGUCAAGCUUCCACCGGGGGAAAAGGGCACUGCUGACAUCGGACAGUUAAUUAGCUUCUCAGCUGCACCACAUCAAACUGCAGGCAAAUGUACCUGCAGAUUUCACUCGGCCCUGUUAGAAGCUGGCGUGGUCCUUAGCCUUUAAUAAUGCAGACAACAAGCUCUUUGCCCAUGACCUGUAGCUCUAGUGCAAGUUCAUUACUCUGUCUCAUUCCCUACCAUGAACACUGGCAAUUAGCAGCCUGCCAGCUUCUGCCCAUCAAACAGACUCACAACUCCAGCCGGCUCUGACGUAAUGGAGCGUUUCUGAUAUUUCCCCGAAUACCUUUUUAUUUUUUUCAUUUUUAAUAAUAAGAGACUAUUAACGACACAUUUAAAAGCCAUAUUGUGUGAUGUGAUUUCAGUUGGACUUCAGUACUGUGUCACUUAUUGUGCGCUGAGUUGCUGUUAAUGGGACGACCCACUGCUGCCCGUUCAUAUUAACACCGUUCAACUAGCGUGAAGCAUGUGAAGCAGCCACAGGAUAUGCAAAGUUUUUAACCUGGUUAGCACUGAAUGGGAUUGUUGAUUUAAAAAUGCAUCUGCAAAACAAGACGGGCCAAUGUCUGCAUCUUUUCAUCAUCUGGAUGGUUUUCAACUUUCGCAGCUGAACAGUGAGCCGUUAGGUGAAGGGCUGCAGGCUAUGGGCUGGACAUCUCAGCAAGGUCACCAACUGUACUGCUCCCCCGCUGUCGUGUGGAAAACUACUGGCGCCAUGUGUAGUAUGAAAUUUAGAAGGCUGUUGCUGUCAUCAUCAACAGUUACUAGUGAUCGGUUUCUUUGUGUCGGUGCGGCUGUGGCAAGAUCCCCAGCUCCUCCUGUCAAAGUAUCCUUGGGCAAGACUCUUAAGACAGCACCUUGCAUGGUGGCUCACUGCCAUCAGUGAGUGUGUGUGCGUAUGACUGGGUGAAUGGGAGCGCGCUGGAUUAAAGUGCGAUUAUAAAUGCAGCAAUAUGUCCAUUAUUAAAACAAUACAAAUUUGCGUUAUUGUGCU